AGAUAGAGGUUGCGUGAUUCAUAAGUAGCUUUUCGGAUGUGGCAGGCACAGGAGAAGAGAAGGGAAAGGGAAGAGCGCCGAAAGAGGAGAGAGCCUGUAUCUCAAAUCUUGGGCAUGCGGUGAAGAACCGUAUGACUGUCAUCUGGCAAAAGGAUGGGGCGCUAUCUGA
rnacentral:ncRNA from 1 species